UAGUUGGUGGCAUGAAGGUGGGGAACCUGGGGCUUCUUUUCCCGGUAGUUUAUCUUCUGAUCUACUGCCACUGCUACAAGCUGCCAAUUUACGCCACCAAUCGAUGAUACGGUCAUGAUACAAGAGUUCCCGCCACGUUUUCCACAAAUGCAUGGUUGGUUGGUUUUGAUAGGGAAAGAAAUAAGCCGAUGUCAGUUUUCCACACCAAUAAAAACUAAAAUAAAGACGUGCAUGGGCCC
rnacentral:lncRNA from 1 species